rnacentral:rRNA from 1 species
GAAGGUGUGCUGUGAGGCAUGCUGGAGGUAUCAGAAGUGCGAAUGCUGACAUAAGUAACGAUAAAGCGGGUGAAAAGCCCGCUCGCCGGAAGACCAAGGGUUCCUGUCCAACGUUAAUCGGGGCAGGGUGAGUCGACCCCUAAGGCGAGGCCGAAAGGCGUAGUCGAUGGGAAACAGGUUAAUAUUCCUGUACUUGGUGUUACUGCGAAGGGGGGACGGAGAAGGCUAUGUUGGCCGGGCGACGGUUGUCCCGGUUUAAGCGUGUAGGCUGGUUUUCCAGGCAAAUCCGGAAAACUAAGGCUGAGGCGUGAUGACGAGGCACUACGGUGCUGAAGCAACAAAUGCCCUGCUUCCAGGAAAAGCCUCUAAGCAUCAGGUAACAUCAAAUCGUACCCCAAACCGACACAGGUGGUCAGGUAGAGAAUACCAAGGCGCUUGAGAGAACUCGGGUGAAGGAACUAGGCAAAAUGGUGCCGUAACUUCGGGAGAAGGCACGCUGAUAUGUAGGUGAAGUCCCUCGCGGAUGGAGCUGAAAUCAGUCGAAGAUACCAGCUGGCUGCAACUGUUUAUUAAAAACACAGCACUGUGCAAACACGAAAGUGGACGUAUACGGUGUGACGCCUGCCCGGUGCCGGAAGGUUAAUUGAUGGGGUCAGCGCAAGCGAAGCUCUUGAUCGAAGCCCCGGUAAACGGCGGCCGUAACUAUAACGGUCCUAAGGUAGCGAAAUUCCUUGUCGGGUAAGUUCCGACCUGCACGAAUGGCGUAAUGAUGGCCAGGCUGUCUCCACCCGAGACUCAGUGAAAUUGAACUCGCUGUGAAGAUGCAGUGUACCCGCGGCAAGACGGAAAGACCCCGUGAACCUUUACUAUAGCUUGACACUGAACAUUGAGCCUUGAUGUGUAGGAUAGGUGGGAGGCUUUGAAGUGUGGACGCCAGUCUGCAUGGAGCCGACCUUGAAAUACCACCCUUUAAUGUUUGAUGUUCUAACGUUGACCCGUAAUCCGGGUUGCGGACAGUGUCUGGUGGGUAGUUUGACUGGGGCGGUCUCCUCCUAAAGAGUAACGGAGGAGCACGAAGGUUGGCUAAUCCUGGUCGGACAUCAGGAGGUUAGUGCAAUGGCAUAAGCCAGCUUGACUGCGAGCGUGACGGCGCGAGCAGGUGCGAAAGCAGGUCAUAGUGAUCCGGUGGUUCUGAAUGGAAGGGCCAUCGCUCAACGGAUAAAAGGUACUCCGGGGAUAACAGGCUGAUACCGCCCAAGAGUUCAUAUCGACGGCGGUGUUUGGCACCUCGAUGUCGGCUCAUCACAUCCUGGGGCUGAAGUAGGUCCCAAGGGUAUGGCUGUUCGCCAUUUAAAGUGGUACGCGAGCUGGGUUUAGAACGUCGUGAGACAGUUCGGUCCCUAUCUGCCGUGGGCGCUGGAGAACUGAGGGGGGCUGCUCCUAGUACGAGAGGACCGGAGUGGACGCAUCACUGGUGUUCGGGUUGUCAUGCCAAUGGCACUGCCCGGUAGCUAAAUGCGGAAGAGAUAAGUGCUGAAAGCAUCUAAGCACGAAACUUGCCCCGAGAUGAGUUCUCCCUGACUCCUUGAGAGUCCUGAAGGAACGUUGAAGACGACGACGUUGAUAGGCCGGAUGUGUAAGCGCAGCGAUGCGUUGAGCUAACCGGUACUAAUGAACCGUGAGGCUUAACCUUACAACGCCGAAGGUGUUU